GACAGAGGGUGCAAACGUUGCUCGGAAUCAUUGGGCGUAAAGCGCACGUAGGCGGCCCAGCAAGUUGGAUGUGAAAUCCCUCGGCUCAACCGAGGACGUGCAUCCAAAACUGCUGGGCUUGAGUACUGAAGAGGAUCGCGGAAUUCCCGGUGUAGAGGUGAAAUUCGUAGAUAUCGGGAGGAACACCAGUGGCGAAGGCGGCGAUCGUGGGCAGAUACUAACGCUGAGGUGCGAAAGCGUGGGGAGCAAACAGG
rnacentral:rRNA from 1 species